GUGCUUGCUUCUGCGACAUAUAUACUAAAAUUGGAAUGAUACAGAGAAGAUUAGCAUGACCCCUGUGCAAGGAUGACAUGCAAUUUCGUGAAGCGGUCCAUAUUUUU
ensembl:snRNA U6 U6 spliceosomal RNA